rnacentral:rRNA from 1 species
GACAGAGGGUGCAAGCGUUGCUCGGAAUCAUUGGGCGUAAAGCGCACGUAGGCGGCUUCGCAAGUCGGAUGUGAAAUCCCUCGGCUCAACCAAGGACGUGCAUCCGAAACUGCGAAGCUUGAGUACAGAAGAGGAUCGCGGAAUUCCCGGUGUAGAGGUGAAAUUCGUAGAUAUCGGGAGGAACACCAGUGGCGAAGGCGGCGAUCUGGGCUGAUACUGACGCUGAGGUGCGAAAGCGUGGGGAGCAAACAGG